rnacentral:lncRNA from 13 species
CUUCACAAAGCAGAAGGGAAGAGCUUUGGUACCUUCAGUUCCUUGUAAGGGCGUUACUCCCCUUCAAGAAGACUCCCCGCCUAUUCACAGCCAUUCACAGAGGUGCUGUUGGAACAAGCUGAUCUUGUCACGAGCACCUUGAAUUUCUGCAAGCAGUUCCCGUCAAGAAGCUGCAAAAUACAUUUCUUCAGACUGCUGGAAUGUGUCUGUACCUGGAAAGCUGCUCUUUUCUUCUUCCUCACCCUUUUCUUCACGCCCUUCCUUCCCAACCUCAACCACACUAUCAGGAACUCAGUUUCUCACUGUGAAGCAGACAGUCUGAAAGAGCCUCAGCCUGUAAGGAUUUUAUGGAACAGAAUGAUCACAUAAAUUAUUCAAUUAUUUUUGAGAGAAACAGGCACCUGCCUGCAUUAAGCUACUGUCACUUUAUGUUUUCUGUGAAUUUGGGCUAAAUAUAAUCUUACCUUGAUAUAUAAUACCUCAAAAAAAAUAUUGUUGAAAUUAAAUAAGAUUUUUUAUGUGUUUAACAUGGUGACUCUUUAGCUGAUAAAUAUUUUGUACAUUUUCUCUAUUAUUUCUUUUUUCAUGGUUAUUCAAAACUAUUCGUGUAUGUUUAAGAAAAAGAAGUCAAUUCAGUAUGUAUUUGUUGAUUAAUUCUCUUUCCAAGACUUUGAAACAAAGAUCAGAAAGCCAAACUUCUGCUGGGCUACAGGUAAAUACUGAAAUAAUUAGAAGAAAAUAAAAACAUAUGCAACUUUGCA